GCCUUUGUGGUGUAAUGGUCAGCACACUGAGCCGGUAUUUCAGAGGUCCGUGGUUCAAUUCCCGGCGAAGGCG
rnacentral:tRNA from 1 species